AGGGUUUUUAGAGACCUUUUAUUCCUCCCAAUAACAUUGAUCUAACAUUCAGACUAACAUUAAUGACUAACAUUAAUGUCUAGACUCACUAGUUUUUAUCUGUUACAAUUUGGUAAUUUUCAGAACCCAUUAAAUAAGCUAUGAGAUUAGAAUGUUUUUCUAAAAAGAUAGCAAGAAAAUACAUCAAGAUUAUUUUUUCUGCUGAAAAGACAACUGGCACCAUUUCCAAAGAAUGUAAUCAAUAGAUGUCACAUGGCUUUUUGUUGAAAUGUCAAUGAAAAAUAAUUGAUCAUCAUCUUUUACUUUGCAGGCACUAUAAAUUUUUCAUGGAUACUGUUAUUUAUCACCACUUUCAUUAACAGUAUUAAAAUUUUCUAUAAUUGAAAUUUUAUCAAAUUUAACAAUGAAAGCAAAAAGACUUAAAAACUGAGGUUUAAUUUGCUGAAAAAACAACAUAACAUUGCUGCUGAGUUCUACCUUGUAUUCUUCAUCAUUUUUCCCCCGUUUAAAAAUUUCAUUUUCUUCCUCGCCAAUGGCUCAUAAUAACAGCUUUGUCUGGCCUCUGAAUUAUUUCUUGUCACUUAAUGCCAGCUGGAGUCUCAAGGAGUCCUGGCUUCACUUCUAGCUUUUAACUUGUCCAGACUGUAGGUCAUUAAUUGUUAAGUAAAAUAGCUGAAGAUCGGAUAAAGUUGCUUAACCCCUCCCAGGCCAAUGGCCCGUGCAGCCUGCGAUCUCUCCUCUGUGAGUCAUUCUGCUUCCCUCAGAGCAAUUAGAGGGUCAGUUCUGGAUGGUUUCAGACAGUAUCCUUUGGUUGAACUCAAUAUUUCUUCUCUAGGGCCCUGGAUAGAAAGAAUAAAUAUUGGGAGGAGUCAAGAUGUCCGAAUAGGAACAGCUCCGCUCUACAGCUCCCAGCGUGAGCGAUGAAGACGACGGGUGAUUUCUGCAUUUCCAUCUGAGGUACCGGGUUCAUCUCACUAGGGAGUGCCAGACAGUGGGCGCAGGUCAGUGAGUGCGCGCAACGUGUGUGAGCCGAAGCAGGGCGAGGCAUUGCCUCACUUGGGAAGCGCAAGGGGUCAGGGAGUUCCCUUUCUGAGUCAAAGAAAGGGGUGACGGAGGGCACCUGGAAAAUCGGGUCACUCCCACCCGAAUACUGCGCUUUUCCGACGGGCUUAAAAAAUGGCGCACCACCACAUUAUAUCCUGCACCUGGCUCAGAGGGGCCUACGCCCACGGAGUCUCGCUGAUU
rnacentral:lncRNA from 10 species